rnacentral:misc_RNA from 1 species
AGUCGUAACAAGGUAGCCGUACCGGAAGGUGCGGCUGGAUCACCUCCUUUCUAAGGAGCAUCUGGCUCAGUUCAUCCUUCGGGGUGGGUGGGUCCAGGCGCCGAUGCAACCCGAACGUGGUUGCCGGUAGCUCAUGGGUGGAACAUUGACAGUGCAGUCGUCGGCGCGUCUGCCGACUCUAGUACGGCCUGCUUGCGGGUCAGGAACGGGUUGGUGGGGGAGCGGGGUGGCUGGUGCACGUUGUUGGGUCCUGAGGGACCAGGCUUCCCGGCUGUGAUGGUCGGGGUCCCUGCCGGUUGGUGGGGUGGGCCGUGACUGGGGUUCCUGUGAUGGGGGUUCUGGUCGGGUUCUUCGGUGGGCUGCAUGAAGCUGACACGGUUCGUGUUGGGGGAGUGUGGUGCCGAUCGUAUGUUGAGAACUACACAGUGGACGCGAGCAUCUUAGAUCGCUCGUGACGAUGACGAAGCUUUCGGGCUUGGUUGUUGUUCGAGUCGAUCGCAAUUUUAAUCUUUGUGGUCAAGUUUCUAAGAGCAAACGGUGGAUGCCUUGUCAC